AGCGUUUUCGGUGGCAGCCUGGGUAUAAAUCCUUUGGAAUAGGGUAUCAUAGAGGGUGAGAAUCCCGUCUUUGACUCAGUGCAUGCUACUAUGUGAUACGUUUUCAAAGAGUCGAGUUGUUUGGGAAUGCAGCUCAAAAUGGGUGGUAAAUUUCAUCUAAAGCUAAAUAUUGGCGAGAGACCGAUAGCGAACAAGUACCGUGAGGGAAAGAUGAAAAGAACUUUGAAAAGAGAGUUAAACAGUGCGUGAAAUUGUUGAAAGGGAAACGUUUGACACCAGUUAUGCGGGUGGAAAAUCAGUCUUUUGCAAUGGGGAGUUGUGGGCGUUCAGACCGCAAGGCUGGCGUUUGCUUCAUCUUUGUUGUAAGUGAUGCACUUUUUCAUUUGCAGGUCAACAUCAGUUUGCUUUGCUGGACAAAACUCCAAGGGAAGGUGGCAGCUUAGGCUGUGUUAUAGCCCUGGGGCGAUACAGUGGAGUGGACUGAGGUUUCGCAGUGUGUGCUCUCGGGCAAGGCUGACUGGGUGCUAUGGGAUCGUUCGGCGUACAAUGCAUGCAUUUUGCGUCGUGUCUUUUUCAUACUCGCUCAACUCGGCUCUUCCACACUUAGGAUGUUGACUUAAUGGUUUUAAACGACCCGUCUUGAAACACGGACCAAGGAGUCUAACAUAUAUGCAAGUGUUUGGGUGGCAAACCCAUGCGCGUAAUGAAAGUGAACGUAGGUGCGAUCCGCAAGGUGCAGCAUCGACCGAUCUUGAUAUUUUUGGAUAGAUUUGAGUAAGAGCAUAUAUGCUGGGACCCGAAA
rnacentral:rRNA from 1 species